rnacentral:lncRNA from 1 species
ACCAUGCAGCCUUGGUGCGCUUCCUGCCACCCUGGAGAGACAGAAAAACUGAGAUCGGAGGGUUCUUUGAAGUAUAACUCCCGUUCAGUGCUACCCAGCACGCGACCCCUCACUGCCUUCCAAAGACUUCGUGCAUCUCAGGAAUCCAGAGAGCCCAUCUGGUGACAGCGGACCCUCGGGUACAAGAAGCGGAGUAUACGCGGGCGGAACUGGAACCCGACGGGAGGGCAGGGGAGGGCGUGCAGGACUCAGUACAGCCUGGAGCAGCAGACAAGCUCCCUCAUCCCACCCUCGGCUCCCCGGGGCACAGGAAGAGCACACUUGGUUGGUUGUCAGCCGCUGAGAUCUCACCAUCUGUGCCACACACGGCAGCAACAAUGGCUGCUGUGAAGUGGGUCAAGAAGUCUGGCGCUCAACUGGACGCUGGUGGCACGAGAGACUAGAGGAUGUCACCAACCCCGCCUGACCACAUUUCCCCUGACUACAGCUAUAUGUAGAGAGAGAGAUCGAAAGAUAACCAGUGUCAACAUCUGGCCACGUCUGAGCGGGAACCCCGGCACACACAUUUCUCCAGGCAAGUGCACGUGGAGGGAAAAACAAAAAUCCCGGCACCCGAAAAUAUUCUAAUCAGUGUCCCGACUCAGUCCUGGGUCCGAGGAAAUCAAACCAAAGCAGCAUCUUGUUCAUAGACUAAUGAUUGGGGCACGCUUCCUACCGCAGGCACCGACGCAGCUCACCGGAGAGUGGGCUGAGGAAAGUCAACUGUCAAGCGUUCCUUAGUUUUACUAUCUGUGGGGAAAUACGUGCGACUGAAACAUGACAGACAUGGACUCUACCUCUUGGCUCUAGGACACCGAGUACUGCCUGUACCCAAAGGCCGAUGUACUACUACCCAGCUGGCUACGUGCCCUACUACCCAUGGCCUCCCAGGGCCCAGCUUCCUGCUGCUGCCUUUCUCCUGGCUGCACUUGCCUCACUCCCAGUAGGGCAGGGAGGAGCUCUGGAUCUGUCCCACCCCAGGCCUUUCACCCAUGCACCACAGAACGGAAAGAAAAAAAUCAUCUUUAUUGAGGUGCAAUUCACGGGCAAGAAACACACGGUCACGUGAUUGAGGCUGCUGCACCCGAGGACAUUCUGCCUGUCGUGAGUGUUCCCAUUUCCCAUUUAACCCAAGAGUCCAGUCCUCCCCAGUGUCCUCUGCUAGUCAGAGGCUUGCUGCCGGAACAGAGUCUUGCCACUGGACAGGGCACACAGGAAGGACCCGGGCAUCCUACCAACAGCACCAGGAUUCUGAAGAGUCGCCCAGAGCUCCAGUCACCACAGAGGUCAUGGGAUUGUCCUGCUGCACAUCUGGGUUGCUGCUAGACGUGAGCAGUUCCGAAUAAAAAUGCAAGAGGGUUGUAGGGACAUGUUUUGCUUCUCCCCAGAAGGGACUGUGUGGGGGAGACAGGGAGUUAGCACAGUUGACUUUGCAAAGCAGAUGUACCACUUGCCACCCCGUGUCGUCGCCGGCACUUAGCGCUGUCUGGUUUUAAGCAUUAGCCUCUCUUGAAGGCAUGCCGUGGUCCCCCCACUGAUUGGUGAGGGACGAUCGUGAUAUUAGUCACACUUUCGCAUGCUCAGGGCUCAUCUGUUCAGAUCGUGCACAUUUUACUUUUAUUACACUUGCCCGGCGUGUGCACGUGCUUGCCACCACACGCAUGUGUAGGUCAGCAGACAAUGUACAGGAGUCGGUGCCUCUACUUGGGUCCCAGGAAUCUAGUGCAACUUGACAAGCGUGCUAACGGUUGUCUUUUUUCCCAAUGCUGGCCCAGAUCUUUCGAUCUUAAUUUAAAAACUUAGUCUUUAAGCUACGAGGGUUUUUAGGUAUUCUGAAUACAUACCCUAUAUGGAUAUUUUCUCCGAGGUGUGUCUUGCUUUGUUGAUCAUUUAAUGGUAUCUUUUGAUGCUCAGACUGAUAAUUGUAUCUUUUGGAGACUUUGCUCCCUGGAUCCUUAAUGCCUGCCUAAAGGAAGGACUCUUACCCUUGGCAUCCUAUCUGGGCAGAUGUGGUCUCCUUUCUAACCCCAGAACUUAGGACAACGGCUUGGAUGUUGAAUGUCCCCUGAAGGCCCACAUGUUGAAGGCUUUAUUCCCGGUGUGAUAUUACAGAAAGAUGAUGGUACUUUUCUUUCCUCUGUGUAGCCCUGACUAUCCUGUAACUCACUUGGUAGACCAGGCUGGCCUCGAACACAC